rnacentral:lncRNA from 1 species
GUAGAUAGAAUGAAAAAACUGGUUUUGGAGGAGAAAGAAAUCCUUUGCUAGCAAUAUUUUUGCUAAGAGUUUGUUUGGUUCAACGUAAAAUUGUAAAAAAUAAUUUUUUAUGAAAAUUUAAAAAUUAAUUUUGGUGGAAAAAAGUUUCACGUUUUGUAGUAUUGAUUUGUAGGGAAAAAAAAACUUCAUCAAUAUUUAUUUGGUUGGAAGGAAAAAAAUUUCUCAUUUGUUCGGUCCAGUGGAAAAUUAAAUGAAUGAAAAAAAAUUUACGCAGCUUAAGUUUUUAUUUUUUGCUAAAAGAAAAGUGAAAAACAAAAACUUUAAUUGUUUCUCAAAUCCAUAAAAAUACUUUUAUGGGAAAAUAUUUUUACAUCGAAUCAAACAAGAGGAAAAGCAUUUUUUGUACAAAAAAUAAAUUUUUGGUUC